GGUGGAUAAGUCACUUUACUUU
rnacentral:miRNA from 15 species